GAAAAGCAGACCUCAUCAGCUGCUGCCACCUUCACCAGAAUGAUGUGAUUAAUUCAUUCAUGCAGAAGACAGCAGGAACCCCGAGAGAACAGGAUCCAGAAUGUGUGAGUUUUGAUGGACAGGGUGGUAGGAUCUAGGAGGCUCCACCUACCUCACCUCCUGACCCCCACACUCCUUUCCCAGUCAUGCUUGGCAUAGAGACUAGAGUGACAUCAACAGAAGGGUAGAUGCUUGGAAGGACACCAGCGACACGGAGAAGAGGAGGCCGGAGGUCCACAAAGCGCCCAGCUCCUGGCCUCAGAUGCCCAGGACUCUGUCCAGAAAGGCUCCCUCCCAGCCAUGGAACUUGAUGGUCCUUGAGUUCCUGAGGAUGGAGCUGAUGGGCCGGGCCCGAAAGUCCUUCUGCCUCAUUUGCCCUCCUGGGAUUGGAGGGAAGAGAGAGAUGAAGACACGGCCGGUCCAGAAUUCUCCUCUGCACCCUGACAGUCACCCUGCAGCAAAUCCCACUGAUCUCACCAAGUGCGUCCCAAAGCUGUCUUCCUCUUCGCAUCUCUGACCCUCAGUCCUGAUCCAUCCACCAUCAUUCUGUGCCUGGACUCCUGCAGGAGCUGACCCAGGACCACCGCCCCGGGGAGGCAGCUUCUGAUGCCCGGAGAACAGAGGCUGCCCCUGAGCCCACCUGGGGAUGGCGCCAUCAGGAAGGCUACCUGGAGGUCAGCUCGUUGACACUGUCUGGGUGAACAAAGGAGACCAGAUCUUGUUUUCAUCCAUGUUCGAAGCCAAUAUCACCAUCCACAACAUUGCUGUCAGUGUGUGUCCGAGCCACCAGUAGCCUAGAGAUAUUUAGACCUGGUUUAUUAACCAUACACCUGCCAGACCCAACCCAGCCAAAACAUGAAAUCGACUGGGUGCAGUGACCCACACUGUAAUCUCAGCACUUUGGGAGGCCAAGGUGGGUGGAUCUCCUGAGGUCAGCAGUUUGAGACCAGCCUGGCCAUCAUGGUAAAACCCCAUCUCUACUAAAAAUA